rnacentral:rRNA from 1 species
GAUGAACGCUGGCGGCGUGCCUAAUACAUGCCAGUAGAACGCUGAAGGAGGAGCUUGCUCUUCUGGAUGAGUUGCGAACGGGUGAGUAACGCGUAGGUAACCUGCCUGGUAGCGGGGGAUAACUAUUGGAAACGAUAGCUAAUACCGCAUGACAACAGUUAUUGCAUGAUAACUGUUUAAAAGGGGCAACUGCUCCACUACCAGAUGGACCUGCGUUGUAUUAGCUAGUUGGUGAGGUAACGGCUCACCAAGGCGACGAUACAUAGCCGACCUGAGAGGGUGAUCGGCCACACUGGGAUUGAGACACGGCCCAGACUCCUACGGGAGGCAGCAGUAGGGAAUCUUCGGCAAUGGACGGAAGUCUGACCGAGCAACGCCGCGUGAGUGAAGAAGGUUUUCGGAUCGUAAAGCUCUGUUGUAAGAGAAGAACGAGUGUGAGAGUGGAAAGUUCACACUGUGACGGUAUCUUACCAGAAAGGGACGGCUAACUACGUG